GUGCAUAUAUUAUAAAUAUUGACUUAUUUAGGAAUUAAAAUAUCUUUGGAAAGCGCACGAUUUUCUGCUCUUGGGAAUUUAAAGCAGCUUCUUAGGGCCUGUUCAUAUGGGCAAAAGUUAUCCCGGUUAGCAAGAAAACUUUUCGACAAGUUUACAAGCGAGAUCUCGCCUUGGUAUGAAAAUAAUAUGAAAAGUUACACUGCGUUCACAUGAGACAAAAAGUUUUCCCGUGUACCGAGAUCUCGCUUGUUGACAGGCGAGAUCUCGGUGACCGGGAUAAUGUUUUUCCCAUAUGAACACAACUUUCCCGCUUAGCGGGAUAACUUUCUGUCGUGUCAGCAACUUUUCAAUUCAAUUCAUGUUCAGUGCUACGUCACAGCCGAAAACUUUACCCGGUAAGCGGGAUAAAGUUUCUCCAUAUGAACAGAACAAAAGUAUUUGGCUAGUCGAAAAGUUUUCUCGUUAACCGGGAAAACUUUUGCCCAUAUGAACAGGCCCUUAAACAGUUUCUUUAUGCAUAAAAUUUAUGGUCUUUUAUGCAAUUGUGGAUUCAGCUGAGGAAUUCAAAUUCUAACAAUACGUUAUGACAUCAUAAUUACGGUCCUGCUGUCCUAUCCGGCAUAUACAGG